GCAUUUGAGCUAAAGCAAGGGAAGCAUUUCCCCUUCCCCUGGCUGAAAGCUCAGCUGACCCCGAGGCUCUUCUGGUCAUGCUUAGAGUGGGCCCUACAUCCAAUGACUGGUGUUCUCAUAAGGAGAGAGAGACAAAGAGUAGACAGACACAAGGGAGAAGGCCGUGUGAAGAUGGAGACAGAGAUUGGAAUGAUACAGCCACAAGCCAAGAAACAUCUGCGGCCGUCAGAAGUUGGAAGAGGCAAGGAAUGAUUUAUUCUUUCCCACUCAUUGUUUCACCAAUGAGCACCUUCCAUGUGCCACCGUUCUGACCCUGCUGACAAUGUGGUUUCAGACUUCUGGCCCCCAGAACUGUGAAAGAGUAAAUUUCUGUUAAGUUAUCUUGCUUGUGGUACUUUGUUACAGCAGCCCUGUGGAUCUAAUAUAGUCAUAAGAGACAUUGUGACCUCCUCCCUGCUCUCUUGAACCACUCAUUCUGGGAGAAGUCAGCUGCCAUGUCAUGAAGCUACUCAGGGAGGUCCAUGGAGAGGUCCACAUGGCAAGGAACUGAGGCCUCCUGCCAGUAGCCAGCACCAUCUUGCUGGCCAUGUGAGCGUGCCAUCUUAGAUGCAGAUCAUACGGCCCCAGUCAAGCCUUCAAAUGACUGCAUCCCUACUUGACAUUUUGACUGUAACCUCAUGACAAACCCUAAGCCAGAACACCAGCUAAGCCACUCCCCAAUUCCUCAUCAAGAGAAACUGAGAUAAUAAAUGUUUAUUAUUGUUUUAAGCUACUAAAUUUUGAGGUAAUCUGUUAUGUAGCAAUAGAUAACUAAUACUGAUAUCUGUCAUAUUGGGGCCUCAGUGUAACUUGGAACAGAAAGAGUUCCAUAUUAUAAUUCUUAAACAUUACUUGGAAUGGUUAGGGGCCCCAGUGCUAUUCUCUCUGGGGAUAUUUCCAGCAAUGGGCCCCACAGCCAUUUAUAGUGAGUUGUCCCACUUACUCUUUCACCAGUGAGCACUUUCCAUGUGUCAGAUGCCAUAUUAGAGACUGGGGCUAUAGAAAUGAACAGUCUUUUGGGAGGCCGAGGCAGGUGGAUCACCUGAGGUCAAGAAUUUGAGACCAGUCUGACCAACAUGGAGAAACCCCGUCUCUACUAAAAAAAAAAAAAAUACAAAAUUAGCUGGGUGUGGUGGUGCAUGCCUGUAAUCCCAGCUACUUGGGAGGCUGAGGCAGGAGAAUCACUUGAACCUGAGAGGCGGAGGUUGUGGUAA
rnacentral:lncRNA from 1 species